ACAAAAAUGACAGUGUAACAAAAUGACAUUAGAAGUCAACGAUUUUAUAUAAAUUUUUUUUCGCAACAAUUUUAUAUACAUUAUAUAUUUAAUAAAUAUAUUUAUAUUAUAUUUUAUAAAUGGAUCGCUGUCGGUGUCCUGAAUAUGAGGUGGCCAUCGACAAAUUAAAGAUUUAUACAGUAGGCACGUACAGAGAUGACGCGAUAAAACAUUACGACAGAUCCGGUUUCCAAGUGACCUGGAUAAGGCACGGCGUGAACUACGAUGAUAUGAAGUUCACGAAGCCGAAAGCCACAAAGAUUAGAAGAGAAUACGGAAAACCAAAGGACCUUAUGAAAAUAGAACGAAUGUGGUGCCCCUACAUGACCCCCGUGGAAAUGUGACAAUAAAUUCUGAGGAACUGUUCUUGGGAUUUAAUAGAAUAAUAAUAAUAAUAAUAAAGCCUUUUUUUCCAGUAAAUUUACAUAACUUAAAAUAUA